rnacentral:lncRNA from 1 species
AAUUUUCAAUUUUAGUGGUUCUUGUGUACAUAUUUACUUCUUUUUUGCCCCUUAAUUACCUCUAUCUUCAAGAGUAUAUGAUAUUCUUUUCUUCUUCUUUUUUUUUCCAAUGAUAUGAAACAUGAAACCCGCACUGAAAGUGCUUCGCUAUAUUUGUCUGUUGCAAAAAAAAUUGAAUUAUGAAAGUCAUUGUAUAGCUGGUGGUGAAUAACCGCUGUGUUCUCAAAAAAGUAAAGACAUUUUAGAGCUCCAAAGGACAUGGUGCUAAAGCUGACAGAUUAGUUUGAGCAUAAAUACCUGAGUCAUAUGAUAUCGGUAUCCUCUCAUCAAUCCUCCAGAAUGAAUCAAUGAUAAAAUACAUUCGUCAGCUGAUACCUGGAAGUUCCAGAUGAGCCGCUUGCUGCCAGCCAGCUACCAUUUAUGGUGAGACAGGAGAUGUCUCCAUAAUGAAUUUUAACGGGCCAAAUAGGAGCAGGGGUGAUUAUAAGUAGGCUAAACAACUAAACAGCCAUUCUUUUCUUCUAUUUAUCUCAGAUCCAUUCAACUCAGAGAAAGCCUUAAGAGUCCACUUCAGGCAUCCAGGCAUCAUUCGAGACUAGCUGGUUAGUCAAAUGGACUUUUCUGAUCAUAUUUGGCCACUAAUAUGCUGUGUCAGUACAACAUCGCGAGAAUGAAAUCCAAGUACUUUGAUACACUCCUGCUUGGGUUUCAUUCUCGCAUGGAAUGAUAAUUGGAGUGUAAUUCAACUU